rnacentral:lncRNA from 1 species
AGGACCAGACACGGUACUGUGCUCACAACAGCUCUCAAUUCUAAAGGCGCCUCUCUGCCCGGGAAAAGAGAUUAAGUCCCAGCACAAAUCGAAUUUACCAACCAUUCUUCUGAUGAGUGCGUGGUGCCUAGGAACCAUCUGACCCAGAAUGGACAUGAGCCUCUCUGUUCUAUGGACAGGAACCCAGGAACCGAGGAUUUCAAGGGCACAGAAAAAUGGCAAGAGUACCAUGAGGAGCCCCUGCAGGCCUGGUUCGGGCACCCUGUGCCUCAGUCCACUCCCUUUGGCUGCAGCAGAACAUGUGAGGCUGAGUAACUUAGGCAGAGAAGACCUGCAUUUGGGCUCAGAGUUCCCGGAGACCGGCAAGUCCGGGGCUGGGCGGCUGCACCUGCUGGAGGAGCUGCAGGCCGGCCAGGGCCCCUGAAGGAGCGUGGCCCCUCUGCAAUACCAAGAUUGUCUCCAGGACACGGCAGGCUGCGGACCCUCCCAGGCCUGGACGCUUAGACGCUGCGUCUGUCUCGCGCAGUCCCCCACCAGCCCGGCUCACUGUGCACUGCGGUGGGAGGUGAAGCGGUUUGGCCGGGAUCGUGAACUUCUGCUUAAGUACUGAGUUCCAAAAACUUAAAAUUCUUCUCAGGACAUUAUCCUAUUAUCACAAGCUUCCCCUCCAAUUUUUUGUCGGUUGUACUGGGGAUCCAACUCGGAAAUUUGGGCUAGGGCCGGGAUUUAGCUCAGUGGUUACACCUCUGCCUCACAAGCCCAAGGUUCCGAGUUGGAUCUCCAGUACCAAAAUUAAUAAAUUAAAAAAAAAUUAAUUGCUGCAGGUUGUUUCCACAGAGCACACAUAUUUAACCAUUUGCCUGCCAUUUGUUGGAUUUUUAGUUGGUUUCAGAUUUGGGGCUUUUUUGGGGGGAAGCCAUAAAGAGAGCAAUUGUCAUGUAAAAUUUCCACAUAUGAGCUUCUUUUCAUUUCAUUAGGAGACAUUCCCAAAAAUUAUAUUCCUGAACAAAAUGGUAUGAAAAGAGUUUAGACUCUCCUCCUCCUCCUCCUCCUCCUCCUCCUUCCUGAAACAGGGUCUCCCUGUGUAGCCCAGGCUGGGCUGAGUCUCGAGGCUAUCCUGCCUCAGCCUCCAAGUGUCGGGAUUACAUGCCUGUGCCAC